UACGAAGUGGGCUAGCGUUGCUCGGAAUCACUGGGCGUAAAGGGUGCGUAGGCGGGGUUUUAAGUCAGGGGUGAAAUCCUGGAGCUCAACUCCAGAACUGCCUUUGAUACUGAAGAUCUUGAGUUCGGGAGAGGUGAGUGGAACUGCGAGUGUAGAGGUGAAAUUCGUAGAUAUUCGCAAGAACACCAGUGGCGAAGGCGGCUCACUGGCCCGAUACUGACGCUGAGGCACGAAAGCGUGGGGAGCAAACAGG
rnacentral:rRNA from 1 species